UACGAGGGGGGCAAGUGUUGUUCGGAAUCACUGGGCGUAAAGGGCGUGUAGGCGGUGCGGUAUGUUGGACGUGAAAUCCCCGGGCUCAACUCGGGGCGGUCGUUCAAAACUGCCGUGCUAGAGUGUGGGAGAGGGAAGUGGAAUUCCCGGUGUAGCGGUGAAAUGCGUAGAUAUCGGGAAGAACACCUGUGGCGAAGGCGGCUUCCUGGCCCACAACUGACGCUGAGGCGCGAAAGCUAGGGGAGCAAACAGG
rnacentral:rRNA from 1 species